GCGACCCCAGGAUGGGCGAGGCCACCUGCUGAGUUUAAGCAUAUCAAUAAGCGGAGGAAAAGAAACUUACGAGGAUUCCCCUAGUAACGGCGAGCGAACCGGGAUAGGCCCAGCAUUGGAAUCGGGCUGCCAUGUAGCAGCUCGAAUUGUAGUCUGGAGAAGCGUCCUCAGCGACGGACCGGGCCCAAG
rnacentral:rRNA from 1 species